AUACGGAGGGUGCAAGCGUUACUCGGAAUCACUGGGCGUAAAGCGCGCGCAGGCGGUCUUUUAAGUUGGAUGUGAAAGCCUACGGCUCAACCGUAGAACUGCAUCCAAAACUAUUAGACUAGAGUGUGGGAGAGGAAGAUGGAAUUAGUUGUGUAGGGGUAAAAUCCGUAGAGAUAACUAGGAAUACCAAAAGCGAAGGCAAUCUUCCGGAACACUACUGACGCUGAGGCGCGAAAGCGUGGGGAGCAAACAGGAUUAGAAACCCCAGUAGUCC
rnacentral:rRNA from 1 species